GACGAACGCUGGCGGCGUGCUUAACACAUGCAAGUCGAACGGAAAGGCCCUGCUUUUGUGGGGUGCUCGAGUGGUGAACGGGUGAGUAACACGCGAGUAACCUGCCCUUGACUUUGGGAUAACUUCAGGAAACUGGGGCUAAUACCGGAUAGGAGCUCCUGCUGCAUGGUGGGGGUUGGAAAGUUUCGGCGGUUGGGGAUGGACUCGCGGCUUAUCAGCUUGUUGGUGGGGUAGUGGCUUACCAAGGCUUUGACGGGUAGCCGGCCUGAGAGGGUGACCGGCCACAUUGGGACUGAGAUACGGCCCAGACUCCUACGGGAGGCAGCAGUGGGGAAUAUUGCACAAUGGGCGGAAGCCUGAUGCAGCAACGCCGCGUGCGGGAUGACGGCCUUCGGGUUGUAAACCGCUUUCGCCUGUGACGAAGCGUGAGUGACGGUAAUGGGUAAAGAAGCACCGGCUAACUACGUG
rnacentral:rRNA from 1 species